rnacentral:rRNA from 1 species
UACAGAGGGGGCAAGCGUUGUUCGGAAUUACUGGGCGUAAAGGGCGCGUAGGCGGCCUUCUAAGUCGAACGUGAAAUCCCUGGGCUCAACCCAGGAACCGCGUCCGAUACUGGAAGGCUUGAAUCCGGGAGAGGGAUGCGGAAUUCCAGGUGUAGCGGUGAAAUGCGUAGAUAUCUGGAGGAACACCGGUGGCGAAGGCGGCAUCCUGGACCGGUAUUGACGCUGAGGCGCGAAAGCCAGGGGAGCAAACGGG